AGAGUUUGAUCAUGGCUCAGAAUGAACGCUGGCGGCGUGCUUAACACAUGCAAGUCGAGCGAGGCGGAGGGGGCAACUCCUCCAGUCGAGCGGCGGACGGGUGAGUAACACGUGGGCAAUCUGCCCGAAAGUGGGGAAUACCCCAGGGAAACUUGGGCUAAUACCGCAUGUGAUCGCGACCUCGAAGGAGGAUGCGAUCAAAGGGGGGUCGCAAGACCUCCCGCUUUCGGAGGAGCCCGCGCCCGAUUAGCUAGUUGGUGAGGUCACGGCUCACCAAGGCUUCGAUCGGUAGCCGGCCUGAGAGGGUGAUCGGCCACACCGGAACUGAGACACGGUCCGGACUCCUACGGGAGGCAGCAGUGGGGAAUCUUGCGCAAUGGGCGAAAGCCUGACGCAGCAACGCCGCGUGAAGGAUGAAGGUCCUUGGAUUGUAAACUUCUGUCGGCCGGGAAGAAAUUCAUCGGGGUUAAUACCCCCGGUGAUUGACUGUACCGGCAAAGGAAGCCCCGGCUAACUCUGUGCCAGCAGCCGCGGUAAUACAGAGGGGGCAAGCGUUAUUCGGAAUUAUUGGGCGUAAAGGGCGCGUAGGCGGUCCUUCAAGUCUCUCGUGAAAUCCCUCGGCUUAACUGAGGACGUGCGGGAGAUACUGCUGGGCUUGAGUCCGGAAGAGGGUGGUGGAAUUCCCAGUGUAGCGGUGAAAUGCGUAGAUAUUGGGAGGAACACCGGUGGCGAAGGCGGCCACCUGGGCCGGAACUGACGCUGAGGCGCGAAAGCGUGGGGAGCAAACGGGAUUAGAUACCCUAGUAGUCC
rnacentral:rRNA from 1 species